rnacentral:rRNA from 1 species
ACUUGACAUGUACGGAACCCUUUAGAGAUAGAGGGGUGCUCGAAAGAGAGCCGUAACACAGGUGCUGCAUGGCUGUCGUCAGCUCGUGUCGUGAGAUGUUGGGUUAAGUCCCGCAACGAGCGCAACCCUUGUCAUUAGUUGCUACAUUCAGUUGGGCACUCUAAUGAGACUGCCGGUGACAAGCCGGAGGAAGGUGGGGAUGACGUCAAGUCCUCAUGGCCCUUAUAGGUGGGGCUACACACGUCAUACAAUGGCUGGUACAAAGGGUUGCCAACCCGCGAGGGGGAGCCAAUCCCAUAAAGCCAGUCGUAGUCCGGAUCGUAGUCUGCAACUCGACUACGUGAAGUCGGAAUCGCUAGUAAUCGUGGAUCAGAAUGUCACGGUGAAUACGUUCCCGGGUCUU